rnacentral:rRNA from 1 species
UACGUAGGCAGCGAGCGUUGUUCGGAGUUACUGGGCGUAAAGCGUGCGUAGGCGGUGUCCUAAGUUUGUUGUGAAAUCUCCCGGCUUAACCGGGAGGGUGCGGCGAAGACUGGGAGGCUGGAGUGCGGGAGAGGUAAGCGGAAUUCCUGGUGUAGCGGUGAAAUGCGUAGAUAUCAGGAGGAACACCUGCGGUGUAGACGGCUUACUGGACCGUAACUGACGCUGAGGCACGAAAGCGUGGGUAGCAAACAGG